GGGAACAGCGAGAGGAGAAAGAUCAGAGGAAAGGAGGGAGGCAAUGGAGAUUGAUCAGUCGAGAGAUGACAGCAUGGGUAUAGGCCGAUUUGAGGAAGGUAUGGGAGAGUCGCAGGGAGGUGCUCAGGCCUCAGGUUUUGGCUAUCCAGCCUUUCCGCAGAAUCCAGAGUAUCCGAUGGGAGGUAUGUCGGAGUACUCUAGUUUUGUCCCAUAUCCUCCUUACAUGCCAUAUAUGCCUUAUCCUCCUUACUAUCCAUCAUAUCCUAUGUAUCCACCUUCUCCUACUCAUCCAAGUGCAGCACACCCAGAGCUAAAUGACCCAGUACCCCC
rnacentral:lncRNA from 1 species